rnacentral:rRNA from 1 species
AUUGAACGCCGGCGGCAGGCUUAACACAUGCAAGUCGAACGGUAACAUAAAGAAGCUUGCUUCUUUGAUGACGAGUGGCGGACGGGUGAGUAAUGCUUGGGAAUCUGGCUUAUGGAGGGGGAUAACUACGGGAAACUGUAGCUAAUACCGCGUAGAAUCGGGAGAUGAAAGUGUGGGACCUUCGGGCCACAUGCCAUAGGAUGAGCCCAAGUGGGAUUAGGUAGUUGGUGAGGUAAAGGCUCACCAAGCCGACGAUCUCUAGCUGGUCUGAGAGGAUGACCAGCCACACUGGGACUGAGACACGGCCCAGACUCCUACGGGAGGCAGCAGUGGGGAAUAUUGCGCAAUGGGGGCAACCCUGACGCAGCCAUGCCGCGUGAAUGAAGAAGGCCUUCGGGUUGUAAAGUUCUUUCGGUAGCGAGGAAGGCAUUUAGUUUAAUAGACUAGGUGAUUGACGUUAACUACAGAAGAAGCACCGGCUAACUCCGUGCCAGCAGCCGCGGUAAUACGGAGGGUGCGAGCGUUAAUCGGAAUAACUGGGCGUAAAGGGCACGCAGGCGGUGACUUAAGUGAGGUGUGAAAGCCCCGGGCUUAACCUGGGAAUUGCAUUUCAUACUGGGUCGCUAGAGUACUUUAGGGAGGGGUAGAAUUCCACGUGUAGCGGUGAAAUGCGUAGAGAUGUGGAGGAAUACCGAAGGCGAAGGCAGCCCCUUGGGAAUGUACUGACGCUCAUGUGCGAAAGCGUGGGGAGCAAACAGG